rnacentral:rRNA from 1 species
CCUACGGGUGGCAGCAGUGAGGAAUAUUGGUCAAUGGACGAGAGUCUGAACCAGCCAAGUAGCGUGAAGGAUGACUGCCCUACGGGUUGUAAACUUCUUUUAUAAAGGAAUAAAGUGAGGCACGUGUGCCUUUUUGUAUGUACUUUAUGAAUAAGGAUCGGCUAACUCCGUGCCAGCAGCCGCGGUAAUACGGAGGAUCCGAGCGUUAUCCGGAUUUAUUGGGUUUAAAGGGAGCGUAGGGGGGUAGUUAAGUCAGUUGUGAAAGUUUGCGGCUCAACCGUAAAAUUGCAGUUGAUACUGGCAGUCUUGAGUACAGUAGAGGUGGGCGGAAUUCGUGGUGUAGCGGUGAAAUGCUUAGAUAUCACGAAGAACCCCGAUUGCGAAGGCAGCUUACUGGACUGUAACUGACAUUGAGGCUCGAAAGUGUGGGUAUCAAACAGGAUUAGAUACCCUGGUAGUC